rnacentral:lncRNA from 1 species
CCAUUCUCCUGCCUCAGCCUCCCGAGUAGCUGGGACUACAGGCGUGCAGCACCAUGUCUGGCUAAUUUUUGUAUUUUUAGUAGAGACGGGGUUUCGCCAUGUUGGCCAGACUGGUCUCGAACUCCUAAGCUCAGGCGAUCCACCCACCUCGGCCUCACAAAGUGCUGGGAUUACAGGCGUGAGCCACGCUGCCUGGCCUUUCCUUCCAUUUUUAUUCUU